rnacentral:rRNA from 1 species
UACGUAGGGGGCAAGCGUUGUUCGGAUUCAUUGGGCGUAAAGGGUGCGUAGGCGGCGCGGUAAGUCGGGUGUGAAAUCUUGGAGCUUAACUCCGAAACUGCAUUCGAUACUGCCGUGCUUGAGGACUGGAGAGGAGACUGGAAUUUACGGUGUAGCGGUGAAAUGCGUAGAUAUCGUAAGGAAGACCAGUGGCGAAGGCGGGUCUCUGGACAGUUCCUGAUGCUGAGGCACGAAGGCCAGGGGAGCAAACGGG